GACGAACGCUGGCGGCGUGCCUAAUACAUGCAAGUAGAACGCUGAAGAGAGGAGCUUGCUCUUCUUGGAUGAGUUGCGAACGGGUGAGUAACGCGUAGGUAACCUGCCUUGUAGCGGGGGAUAACUAUUGGAAACGAUAGCUAAUACCGCAUAACAAUGGAUGACACAUGUCAUUUAUUUGAAAGGGGCAAUUGUUCCACUACAAGAUGGACCUGCGUUGUAUUAGCUAGUAGGUGAGGUAAUGGCUCACCUAGGCGACGAUACAUAGCCGACCUGAGAGGGUGAUCGGCCACACUGGGACUGAGACACGGCCCAGACUCCUACGGGAGGCAGCAGUAGGGAAUCUUCGGCAAUGGGGGCAACCCUGACCGAGCAACGCCGCGUGAGUGAAGAAGGGUUUCGGAUCGUAAAGCUCUGUUGUAAGUCAUGAACGGGUGUGAGAGUGGAAAGUUCACACUGUGACGGUAGCUUACCAGAAAGGGACGGCUAACUACGUG
rnacentral:rRNA from 1 species